UUUGCAGUUAGCCAAGUGGUAGUCGUGCGGUACAAAGUAAACCAAUAUCCCACCUUGCGUGGUGUGGUCGAGAUGGCUAUUCCUAUGGCUGCACACUGGUCUGAUAAGUACAACAAUUUGGUCGAAGACAUGGCUGCAAAAGGCUACACCAUUUUCAGUUAUCUUCCAUUAGUUCCUGUAGAGGAAAUGGCCAAGGCAUAGAAGCAGUUAGAGGCAUCCGCUGGUAAGAAGGAAGAUUCAAGCAGCUCAAGUGAAGGUGAUUCCAACUAGGAAGAAUAGAGGGCAGCAAUGAGUACGAGAUAUUUGGUUCCUAUUUGUUGCAAGAGCGAAUUCCUUUUCGAAUAUGGUGAAUGUGAAGGGAUAAGCGAAGCUAUACUUUCUGUCAA